AUGAGCAGAAUUUUGACGUGCGUCAAUUUUUUUUAGUUUUGCGAAAACAUUCAACGUCGGGGGAAUCUGCCACAAAUCCAUGCCUGCCGAAUAAAUUGGCCCAUCACUAGUGGCAUAAUGUAUAUAGUAAAGCAUCUGGUAACAGACAGUUUUAUAGGAUCUGAGUACAUUAGUAGUUACUCCACUGCAGAUUUUAUUUUCUGUUAAUUACGGUAUUUUGGGAAGAGGAGCCCUAAAUUCUGGCCCAGUCCUGAGAUAACGCUCUACAGACUAAGUGCAGUGUUGAUCCUUCCUGCUGUUGCUGCAAUCUGAUUACAGAGCAAUUCAAGCUUCUCCCUUCCACUUAGAGUGGAAUACGUCCUAUGCCAAGUACAUUAGCCUCUCCCCGGCAGAAAAUCCGUUGGGCACCCAGUCACCUAUUGCACUUUCAUCCAGCACUCAUUGACCUACAGAGACUUCUUCAGUAGUUACCCAUCACAGAGGUUAACGCAUUCAGCACCAUAAAGGGUAAGUAUGGGUGUAUUAUCCAGAAACCCAUUAUUCAGAAAGUUCCAAAACAGAGCAAAGACAGCGUAUUUAAAAAAGAACUCUGCCAGCUGGAUAGUAGCCUUUAGAAGAAGACCAGACUUCAUGCUGGGGUAAAUGGAAAGAUGAAUUUGCCCUCAAUUUUUUUUUUUUACAAUACUAUUAUUAUUAUCAUUUAGCAGUUAGUCCGAUAGAGCCUCCUGUGCCCCAGCUCCUCUUGAAAUUUAAGCAGUCAAUGUUUAGUUACCCUUUAAAAGUUGUAUAUACUAUAGGAGUACCUGCAAAUGUUUUAAGCCACUUUAUUGUGUGUGAUAUUUGGAGCUAUUUUACCAAUGCAUCUGCCACUUCCUGGAGAUGAGUGUAUUGACACGAUAGUGUAAACAGUGUUGUGUCACACAAAGAAAGUUUAUUUCCUCACUCCAGGGUUUUCUGUUCUUUCAUACUUAGCUGCUGGAGAGUGAUGGGAAUUGUAGUACAGUUAAAACCUUGUAAUGCAGACCAAGUGAUUCCAAUAUAAUUCCCAAAAAGUUGAUGACUGAAGACAAUGGGGUUAUAUUUAGCAGCUAAUAUGUAGGGCACACCCAGAUACUACUCAGCACAAUUGCGGGGGGGGGGGUCCCAUUUACUUACUAGUUCUGCCACUUCUGCUCGGCCCUCCCUUAUCCUUGUUGAACUGGUUUUCCCAUAAGACACACAAGGAUGGCAGGUAUAUGCAACCUGUGUUUUAGAGCUGACUUCUAGAAAUCAAUGUAAUUGUUUCCUAUGGGGCAAGCCACACAGAAUAUAUAUAUUGUAUGACAGACUGCUCCUUAUAACAGCUUCAAGUGUCCCUAUUGGGUAAAACCUAUGACACUCUUGAUGCUGUUGUUAACUCUCAGCAAGGCUGCUAGGCUGAUGCAGUUGUUUUAAAAAGAAAAAUGCCUGUUGUUAUGGAGGCAUGAAGUGUAGGCAAUAUUUGUCCUUUAAACUGGUGCAUGUGAGUGCACUCAAGAAGUCCCAUCUCUUGUAACCCUGCGGCCAGGAACAAAUUAAAAAUGUUAAUAAGCUGGACCAGUUAAUGAGGCUUAUAAACUUUUAAUGAGGUUGUUUACUUGGAGGUUACAUGAAAUGUAUUUACAUGUGAUUGUAUGUUUAACCUCGAGUGAGAAAAUGUUCAGGCUGCUUGGUGAGCAUGGGAGGAUCCAUGGGACUAGUGCAAGGUAGAAUUAAAUAAGACCCAGAUAAAUUAUUGCACAAUAAAAAAUGUUUAUAAGUCAGAACUCCCUUUAGGUCUGUAGAACACUGAGUACCAGUAAAAUCCAAUUUAUCCCAAAACACUGGGAACAUUUAUCUUAAAAAUUAGCUUUGUUGGGGGGGGGGGAACACAAGGAAUAGUAAAUAGAUAAGCUCAGUGCAGAAAGAAAAAUGUCACGUUGGGCAGGGUGGGCGGUGCCUUCCCAAAACAUGCAAAUGAGGCCAGAGAAGGAAAUAGCACAUUAGUCAGAUCUUCCAGUUGUGUGGCUGGGGCAGGUUGGCUCCUGAGCCCACAGGGAUGGCUCGCCAAAGGGCAGUGGGCCGGUGCCCUGUACUCUUUCUUUUGGCCUUUGUCUUUGAUGCCAUGGGCAUUGGCUUGAUUCUGGCAGGCAUAUUUGCCAAUUUGGAGAAGAACGGUAGGAGUUUUGGAGAGUUCCUCAUCUACAGUGGGGGAAUCCUGGUGUUCUUCAGCCUGCUUCUCUGGUUGGCCUGGUACUCUUUUAACCUGGAAGUGUCCAUGGAGGAACUAAUAAGGGACAGCCAGGACCCUCCCAGGAGGAACAAUUUAGUCCAGCUGGCCAGGAAGUUCUCAGAGAGCAUCUCUAAGAGGAGCAAGUGGAAAGUCUUAUCUGGGGAACCCCAGCUGGGGGGACAGACCUGCACCCAUAACCAAUUUGGAGAUCAUAAUGGCUACCUGGCACCCCCUGCCUUCAUCAACAAAGGCUUCACAAAUCAGCUGGAUAUCCCCACCCCUAUCCAAGAGGAGAAGCUGGGAAGCCGGGAACUGAGCUCCAUCAGCAGCCCAUGCGACUACCCAGUGACUCAAACCACUCAGGUGAUUGCUAUGGACAAACUGGUUUAGGAUGCCACACCCUUUAAGAUCAGAAGAGACGACAGCAAUGUUCUGUUCCCAUUCCAGGAAACUUGAUGUUACUGAUGGAAACUAGAUUGUGACAUUUUUGUGCAUGGAGACGAGCAUCUGUUUUGCCUGCAUUCCAAUUUCAGCUCUCGUCUACCUGAGCUGCCAUACUGAUCUUCAGUGUAUCACAUACUCCAUUCCAUUCCACGUGUGCUUGUUAUUACACGGAUUCCCCAGCAGAACCCAUCUGAUUGGUCACCAUCAUUUGCACUUUACCUUCUUUGAACUUUAAGCUUCUGCUGAUGAUGGAUAAAUAAUCAUGCACAUGGAAUUAAAGGGACCUGUAAAGUCAUUUUUCAAUCACACAUCACCAUUCAGGUUAGAAUAAAAAUUGGUGAUUGUUAUGCUGGACAAGUGGUGCACAAUUGACUCUCAUAUCCUAAUAAGGGAGGAGGUGGUAGGAUAUGUCUGAAAUUGCACUGAAAUCUGUACCCCUGUAUUGUAGGCAGGUGUAGGGGCGUUCAUCUAGAUCAUAUACACCAUAAAGGCGGGGUUCAUAAUUAGAAAUGGAGGACGGGCACUGGUGCAUACCGAGACUGAUUGCAUUGUAGAUGCAAAAACUUACCAACACAGCAUGCAACAUAAAUGUCCUACAUGCCUGUCCCUUUAAAGGACCAGUAAAAGUAAUGUUUUUUUGUUUUUUUAAAAAAAAAAAUCUGUAACGAAAAAAACACGAACACAGUUUAAACUUUUAAUUCGCAAAGCUUUUAUUAAGAAAUUACUUACCGAUUCUCUGCAUGCGCUCCUCUUCUGAAAUGGCGACAGGGCGAUGAUCCUUCGUGUGGCGUUGAAUUUCUCCUCCCUGCCUUCUGUAGGCUGCCUACACCAUACCAUGCAGGUGGUAUUUUUUACAUUUACCUCUUUGUAAUGUUAGGGGUUAAAUUAUUAGUUCAUCCAUGCUGCUUACAGAUCCAACUAGCUGAGGAUUCUGGGAGUUAAAUGAACUCAUAUUUAUAAUAAAUAGCUUAAUUGUUCAUAAGUUGCUAUGCCCCCUAGGCACCCAGCCUACAUGAUAUCGUUUAUUCUUUCCCUGGAGAGUAAGAACUGCACAUUCCAUGUGGAAGCUGCCAUAUUGCAAGUCAUUGCUGUCAUGCUGUUGAUUUAAGAAGAACUGUUCUCCUGCCAAAGCAAGCAAGCGGAAAAAAGGAGAAGGAAUAUCCUUGACUGUACCUGUUAAGGCAGACAAUGUAAGAUUUGGAACCCACAUCACUGUGCUCUAUACAGCACUAGCCAAUUAGAAUGGGCCUAUCUGUAAUGUUCUAGGUUACAGAUAGUUUGUGGGUUGAUGUAUGGCAAGUUUACUCUCUCUCUCUUUACCUUGAGGUGUGUAACUACCUGCCCCUCACCUUCCGGAUGUUCUACAAACAUCCCUGCCAACAGCUGUUGAUAAUUCUGGGAGUUGUAGUUCAUAAAUGUUACAAAAUAUUUACAGCCCUCUAUACUUACUGGGAACUGUAACAGCAAAGGGCCUUCUGCUAUAGCUUCACCUGUUGUUGAACUACAACUGCAAUGGGAGGCUGGGAGUUGUACAGUGAUCUAUUCAUCCUGACAGACACUGUAGAGUUACCCACAAAUUGCUCGGAUUGUGAAUGAUGCUUUUUAUCCAAAUUGAUAUUCAGGUCACUUACCACAAUUGUGUUUGUCAUUCUAGCCAGAUGAUUUUAUUCUUAAUGUACAUAAAGGGUAAAUUAUAUUUUUUGUAAACUAUGAUAUUGAAAGAAUUGGAAGUUUCACACAUCCUGGCACAAUAAAAAUGUGUUUGUUUUGA